UGUCCUCCGCGGCCGCCGCGGCAGCAGCAGCAGGUGUUUCUUGGCCGGGGCCCCGGAAGCUCCACCUCCCUCCCCAGCGGCCCGAGCCGCCGCCGCCGCGCAGCCCCGGGUGAGAUAAGCAGUUUAGACAAACACUGGACGGCGGUGGCUCCAGCAUGUGUCCGCCGAGGCGGAGCGGCGGGGCCCUGGCAUGAAAGCCCUUCCUGCUCCGCCUGGAUGCGCCUCCCCGCCCCCAGCCCUCCCGGGCGGGCGGCGGCGCUGAUGGGCGGCGAAGGGCCCGACCGAGUGGAGCCGAUUCAAUUAUAUUGCAGCAGCAGCAGAGACACCUCCCCGGCCGCCCGCCCGCCUCGCCGGCAGGCUAAUUAAAUUCCCUUCGCGGAGGCGGAGCGGGCGUCGGGCUUGCCCUCCCACCUUCCCCUUCCGGCUCCGCGCCCCUCCUCCUCCUCCGGAGCUCCGGGUGGGGGGAAAGGGGGAUCCCUUAGGCUCCAGGCUCAGGUCGCGGGAAAAGGGUUCCUUGGAUUGGGGGAAGGGAUGCGCUCCACCCCCCACUUCAUGGGGCGGAGGGCCCGGCCCCCUCCCCGCGAUGGGCUGGGGGGGCCGCUGGAGCGCUGCCCUUGACGUUCUGAGAGCUGCGUGCCCGGCCCGGAGCACCUGCCGCCCCCAGCUGGGUGGUGGAGACCAGCCGGGUUGAGUCCCUUUGGCUCUUGUUUGUAAACUAGCCUUUGUCUCCAGAGUGCGUCUACAUACACUGAGCCCUUGUUAACCCCUGCGGCGCCUUAUCUGGGGCCCACACAGGUUAGGGUUUGGAAACCAAAAGCCGGGAGGGACCACCCGA